UGAUCUUCAAUUUCCUCUGUUAAAGAAA
rnacentral:piRNA from 1 species